UACCCUACCCUACCCUACCCUACCCCCAGAGAGGACUUGAAAAACUGGCCUCGUCUAUGCUGUAUUGGGCAGAUAGGGAGGAUCCACGAGAUCUAGUUGAAUAGUUGAAAUUUGGGAACAGUUUUUCUCCUUUUUUUUGUUACAGAAUCUAUAGUUAUAUAGUUCUUUUCUUUCCUUUGAAGAGCGAACAUAUACUUCUUCUAUUCUAUACAAGCAUUAUUACAAGAGUUAUGCUACUGAUGGGACAGUGCUGAUUAGAAUUUACGUUCUCACUCUCCUUUUUCUCUCUCUAAAUUGAAGACUUUCUUACAGUAUCAGAACUAUUCAAAUUUCAUUGAACGGAAAUGUGGAAUCUGAACUAUUCACCGGAUCAAAGGAUGGAUGAAGGUGGAAAGGGUGAACGGGUCGGAUCUGAAUGGAACUCGAUGGAGGAUGGUUUUUCUGAGGAAGAAGAUGCGGAGAGAAGUGGGGGUGAUGGGAACAAGAAAAAAAGCAGUAAAAUCUUUGGUUUUUCUGUUUCACGUGACUGUGAUGAUGACGAUAUAGGACCAUGUUCGUUGGGGAGUGAGCCGCCGGUGACAAGGCAGUUCUUUCCUGUGGAUGAGUCGGAAACCACCGUUACAUCCGGCGGAGGGGUAGCACCCAAUUUUCCGAGGUCUCACUGGAUGGGAGUGAAAUUCUGCCUGUCCGACGCCACCACCGUCGGCGUCUUAGGGAAAUCUGCCGCGGAAGUUUCGCAGCCACUCAAGAAGAGCCGCCGUGGGCCAAGGUCCCGGAGCUCUCAGUACCGCGGCGUCACCUUUUACCGGCGAACCGGCCGGUGGGAAUCGCACAUAUGGGAUUGUGGAAAACAAGUUUAUUUAGGUGGAUUUGAUACAGCACAUGCCGCAGCACGUGCAUACGAUAGGGCAGCGAUCAAGUUUCGGGGAGUGGAAGCAGACAUAAACUUUAGUUUGGAUGAUUACGAAGAGGACUUUAAACAGACGAGCAAUCUAACUAAGGAAGAAUUUGUACAUGUACUUCGUCGGCGAAGUACCGGAUUUCCGAGAGGAAGUUCCAAGUAUAGAGGUGUUACUCUGCACAGAUGUGGUAGAUGGGAAGCCAGACUGGGGCAGCUCUUAGGCAAAAAGUAUGUUUAUUUGGGUCUCUUUGAUACUGAAGUUGAAGCUGCCAGGGCUUAUGAUAAAGCUGCCAUCAAGUGCAAUGGAAAGGAAGCUGUUACCAAUUUUGAUCCCAGCAUUUAUGAAGAACUUGGAGAUGCAGGACAGAUUCUUCUAGUAAUGCAUUUGACCACAAUCUCGACUUGAGUUUGGGAAAUUCAGCCUCAAAGUCAAUCGGUCGAGAAUUUGGGGAUGACAUCCAUCAUACUAGAGACCAACAUUCUUCAUCAAUGCAAUUUGAAGCUGAAUGGCGAUGUCAAGGAUUGAUACCGGAGCACCAAACGCAGCUAUGUUCCACGGGCUCAGUGAAGUUUACUGAAAUGCAUAGAUAUGGGCCGUUUGUGAAAGCUAAAGAACCUCGUAUGCUUCCGAUGUUUUUACCGGCGUUCAGCUCACAAAACUAUCAAUUUCCGAGCAGCAGCGACGGUGGCAGGAUUUGAAGCUGAUGAAGGUGAGCUCCCUCUUUCGACGAAAGAUCAUCAAUCGCAGACAAAUUGCCCUCGAUUCUUAGCAGCAUCAUCAGGAUUCCAGCAGCUGAGAAUCAGCUGCAGAAAUUGAACUGGCUUUCUUCUUUCUGCCACACCAUUUUCGAAUAUCUCCAUUUUCGGCAAGUCUAUAAAGUUCUAUCCUUUGAGCAUUUUUAUUUUUUUUUGGGCUCUGUGUACCUUCCAGAGACCAUUAGUACGUAUCCAUGCAGGGUUCUCAAUUAGAUUGAGCAUUGAGCAAAAGAAUGGAGAAAUUGAUAUUCUAUGUUUCAUGGUUCCUCAUUGUUUUGUUAAAACUAUUUACAUAAUGUCUAAGGAUCCGUUUGGUA